AAAGUCCCUACGAGAGAAGUUAUGGCGAAACACCUCGACCUCGAGUCAUGCGUGAUACAUCGUGAGGUGUAUGGCGAAGCGUUGGCAGGGGAAAUCAGCAGGCCAGCCAUUGAGCCGCGAAAUCAUGAGUCCGGGGCGCCGACACUGUUAUGCGAAGCGGAAGGCCACAGUGUGUAUGACGAUAAUCGCAAGUCAUGCUACACGCCCUGCGCGGUCGUAGACCC
rnacentral:ncRNA from 1 species